rnacentral:rRNA from 1 species
CUUUUGCUGGCGACCGGCGCACGGGUGAGUAACACGUAUCCAACCUGCCCUUUACUCGGGGAUAGCCUUUCGGAAGAAAGAUUAAUACCCGAUAGCAUAAUGAUUCCGCAUGGUUUCAUUAUUAAAGGAUUCCGGUAAAGGAUGGGGAUGCGUUCCAUUAGGUUGUUGGUGAGGUAACGGCUCACCAAGCCUUCGAUGGAUAGGGGUUCUGAGAGGAAGGUCCCCCACAUUGGAACUGAGACACGGUCCAA